rnacentral:ncRNA from 2 species
AAGACACGAACGGAAGAGACCGUGACUCACACGGAGCCGAAGGGGCGGCAAUAACUCUCAGGCAAAAGGACCGUUCGCCGACG